rnacentral:lncRNA from 14 species
AUUUGUUCUAUAGCUGAACAACUGUUAGAUGAGGCCGCAGAGGAGCCCAGCAGGCCUGACAGCAAGGAGGUGAACCUCUCUCAUGGAUACAGCGCCUGGCUCAGUGGGUUCAGAUCCUGCCCCAGCCUUCUGGCUAUUUCAUAAUGGCUCUGAGUCCUCACACAGCUGUGCCUGGAGUUAUGCUCCAUCAGCUCACCCAGUGUGAGUGGUGUAAGAUCACAGAGCGAUGCCUUCAGGUCCCUUGUACCUUGGAGGCUCUCACUGUACCGUGCACUUAACCAGCUGAUGCAACAAUCCUAUCGCGUUAGGAUCCAUCUUUUCUAUGAGAGCACCAGGACUGAGGGAUGUAAUAACGUCUAUCUAGAGGCACAGAGGCUCAGCACAUGGGAAGGGAAGAGGAAAGCACCAUGUAACACUUGGGCAGCAUGGAGGAAGUCCUCCUGUGGUCUGAAGUCUGGGCUUAGCAUCUCAGAUCAUCCACAGAAAGGGGGAAGAGAUUUCUGUGUCCACCAGCUGAGGAACGAUGAGCUGUGUGAUGAACAUGCCUCCUUGCCCUUCCUUCAAACUUAA